CCAUUCCAACAAAUUUCCCAAUCCCUAAUCAUUUUAACAUAUCCCUUCUCUCUGUAUAUCUCUUCAUUCUCUAUCUAUAUCUCUCCAUUCUCUUCUCUCUCUUAACCACACACUACCAUCGAAGCGCCAUCAUCACUAGGCUCAAGACGCCUUCGGCCGGUCAACAUCUCCGAUCUGCGAUCACCGAAGGAAAAAGGAAAGAAGCACCAACAUGCAAUGUGUAGUCUUCGAUUUGCAGGAAAAAGGCACCUCGGGCGGUGCUGCACGCAACACGUGAAAAAAAUGUGUACUACAGGGACUCCAAUGCAAGACUUGUGGUAAACUCCCAGAGGGUCAUUUUUUCUAGUAUGCACAUCAUAAUAAGCAACUAACUAUUCAAGCUAGACACCUUCCUGAUGACAAAGGCCUGGUGAAAUUGAAGUAAAGCUUUGGAUGUAGAGUUGCUGUGGUCAAUGUAGUCAUAGACGUCCUAUGUUAUUCUAUUGAUAAUAAAUUAUUUUGAUUUCAAGGAUUUGGUUGUAAUGUAUCGACUUAAAUAGCAUCACAUAUCUAUUCACUCUUUGUCAUAUGCAGACAAUAAAAUUUCAAAUUUGGUCGA